rnacentral:rRNA from 1 species
CCUACGGGAGGCUGCAGUGGGGAAUAUUGCACAAUGGGCGAAAGCCUGAUGCAGCAACGCCGCGUGAGUGAAGAAGGGUUUCGGCUCGUAAAGCUCUGUUGGUAGUGAAGAAAGAUAGAGGUAGUAACUGGCCUUGAUUUGACGGUAAUUACUUAGAAAGUCACGGCUAACUACGUGCCAGCAGCCGCGGUAAUACGUAGGUGGCAAGCUUUGUCCGGAUUUAUUGGGCGUAAAGCGAGUGCAGGCGGUUCAAUAAGUCUGAUGUGAAAGCCUUCGGCUCAACCGGAGAAUUGCAUCAGAAACUGUUGAACUUGAGUGCAGAAGAGGAGAGUGGAACUCCAUGUGUAGCGGUGGAAUGCGUAGAUAUAUGGAAGAACACCAGUGGCGAAGGCGGCUCUCUGGUCUGCAACUGACGCUGAGGCUCGAAAGCAUGGGUAGCGAACAGGAUUAGAUACCCGGGUAGUC